AUCAUGUGUGCAUACACAGUCUGAGCAAGAGACACUCAUGUGUAUUUGCCUUCCUUCCAGCCCUAACCCAAGAAACAGAAGAAAAACCAGAAAUCCAGAAGCCUGGUCUUCUUACCGACGAGCCCCCAUAUCCAUCAGAGUCAGGACUGACGGGCUGAGGCUCUUUGUCUGGUUGCUGAGAACUUCAGAGAACAGAUGACGUCAGGGGGGCCCAGCUAGGUCUAUGAAUUCUGAGUACAGUGUGUGUAUCUCAAAUAAUGUGGAAGAAACCACUGGAAGCAGAACCAAAUAGCAUUGAUCCAAGCAGACUGAUCAGCUAUCAAAAGGACAGAAAGAUUGACUUGACUCAACCUCUGUGCAACCUCAAGUUCCUCACUGGCAGUCUUUUCAAGAUAAAGAAAACCUCAUUCUUCCCAUUGUCCUGAGGAAAAGAGAAGAUAAAACUCAGAGGGCUGCGAUGGAUCCUAGUCCAACCCUGUCCCUUGACCCUGAUCCUUCUGGGACAGUGAAUCCAGGACAUGUUUUGGUCCCUCUGUUCAUCCGGCCCAAUAUCUGUCCUCUGAGCCCUGGGCCCCCGCAUCAGCACAGAACCAACCCCUACAACCUGCCACCUUUCUGGGAAGUGGAACUCCCCAAGGCUUUGAGGCUAAGUCUUAGAGGGUGGUCCUCACCUGUCAGUAGACAAGAUGGCUAGGGCCCUACAUGAUAUAGCAGUGACUCUACUGUUGACAGAAUCACAAUACCAGAAAUUUUCAAUCAAGUCCUACCUUAGGUAAUAUAGUAGUUCCCCAAUUCCUCCCUCUUCCCACCACAUUUCCCCACUCCUCUUAAGCACCU